rnacentral:rRNA from 1 species
UACGUAGGGUGCGAGCGUUGUCCGGAAUUAUUGGGCGUAAAGAGCUCGUAGGCGGCUUGUCGCGUCGGAUGUGAAAGCCCGGGGCUUAACUCCGGGUCUGCAUUCGAUACGGGCAGACUGGAGGUAUGCAGGGGAGAACGGAAUUCCUGGUGUAGCGGUGAAAUGCGCAGAUAUCAGGAGGAACACCGGUGGCGAAGGCGGUUCUCUGGGCAUGUCCUGACGCUGAGGAGCGAAAGUGUGGGGAGCGAACAGG